AACGUAGGGGGCGAGCGUUGUCCGGAAUUACUGGGCGUAAAGGGCGUGUAGGCGGUCAUUUAAGUCAGAGGUGAAAACUACCGGCUUAACCGGUAGCCUGCCUUUGAAACUGGGUGACUUGAGGGCAGGAGAGGGGAGUGGAAUUCCCAGUGUAGCGGUGAAAUGCGUAGAUAUUGGGAGGAACACCAGUGGCGAAGGCGGCUCUCUGGCCUGUUUCUGACGCUGAGGCGCGAAAGCGUGGGUAGCGAACGGG
rnacentral:rRNA from 1 species